UACGGAGGGUGCAAGCGUUAAUCGGAAUUACUGGGCGUAAAGGGUGCGUAGGUGGUUUAAUAAGUUAUGUGUAAAAUCCCUGGGCUUAACCUGGGAAGGUCAGAUAAGACUGUUAGACUCGAGUAUGGGAGAGGGUAGUGGAAUUUCCGGUGUGGCGGUGAAAUGCGUAGAGAUCGGAAGGAACACCAGUGGCGAAGGCGGCUACCUGGCCUAAUACUGACACUGAGGCACGAAAGCGUGGGGAGCAAACAGG
rnacentral:rRNA from 1 species